AAAGUCGUAACAAGGUUUCCGUAGGUGAACCUGCGGAAGGAUCAUUAACACUUUUUAUCCAAAUAUAAAAACUAAACGUGAACUUUUCCCCUCCCUAUAUCAAAAACAUUGUGUUUUGAUAUAGGCUAACAUUUUUAUUUUAUUUCAAACCACUUUAACUUUUUAUAAGUCUUUGAAAAAGGACUGACUAACUAAAAAUUUUACUUAAGAUGUCACACGUUGAUCUCUUAAUUAAUAUUUUUUCUUUACGAAAUAAAUAUUAGUAUAUAAGAACAACUCUUAGCAAUGGAUAUCUUGGUUCUC
rnacentral:misc_RNA from 1 species